CAGAUCUAGCAGGGCAGAAAUUUUAUCAACUGACUUGUUGGAAAGGCUGUGAUGGACUGGCGGCCUUUCCAGGGUAUCUCCCCGCCUGCCGCCCAAUGACUGCUGGGAUAGGCUCCAGCAUACCCACGACCCUGAGUAGGAUAAGCGGUUUGGAUAAUGGAUGGACUUGUUGGAAAGGUGGCAUCCUAUGACAGUGCCAUGUUGAAAGUCAUUGAGCUCGUGCACCAUCCUGAAAUUUAUGUAGAGGUCUGUGACUGGAUGUCAGCUAGGAGGAACCUAUGGCUUCAGGCAGACUUGGAACAACCAAUGCCUCUCUACUGGUUUCCACAAGAUCUAUUGGACUGUUGGAAUUGUGUGUUCUGCUGUGCAUGGCCAACACUUCAGGCAGCAAAGUGUUUGGCCACGAUUCAGCUUUCUGCAACUUUCAAAUGUUUGAAUCAGAAAUAAAAGAGCAGAUGGA